rnacentral:tRNA from 1 species
GGGGUAUGAGCCAACAAGGUUAAGGCGUCUGUCUUCCAAACAGAAUAAGUGGGUUCGAUUCCCGCAUACCUCUC